AGAGUUUGAUCCUGGCUCAGGACGAACGCUGGCGGCGUGCUUAACACAUGCAAGUGGAGCGACGAACCAGGGCUUGCCCUGGGGCAAAGCCGCGAACGGGUGAGUAACACGUGAGUAACCUGCCCCGAUGACCGGGACAACCCGAGGAAACUCGGGCUAAUACCGGAUGUGGUGCACAGGCAUAAGCUUGUGUACUAAAGGAAGCUUCGGCCUCCGCAUUGGGAGGAGCUCGCGGCCCAUUAGCUUGUUGGUGGGGUAACGGCCUACCAAGGCAACGAUGGGUAGCUGGUCUGAGAGGACGAUCAGCCACACUGGGACUGAGACACGGCCCAGACUCCUACGGGAGGCAGCAGUGGGGAAUCUUGCGCAAUGCGCGAAAGCGUGACGCAGCAACGCCGCGUGGGGGAAGACGGCCUUCGGGUUGUAAACCCCUUUCAGGAGGGACGAAGGUUCACCGGUGAAUAGCCGUGUGGAUUGACGGUACCUCCACAAGAAGCUCCGGCUAACUACGUGCCAGCAGCCGCGGUAAUACGUAGGGAGCAAGCGUUGUCCGGAAUCAUUGGGCGUAAAGCGCGCGUAGGCGGCCCUGUAAGUCCGUUGUGAAAGUCAAAGGCUCAACCUUUGAAAGCCGAUGGAUACUGCAGGGCUAGAGUCCGGAAGAGGCGAGUGGAAUUCCUGGUGUAGCGGUGGAAUGCGCAGAUAUCAGGAGGAACACCAAUAGCGAAGGCAGCUCGCUGGGACGUGACUGACACUAAGGCGCGAAAGCGUGGGGAGCGAACAGGAUUAGAUACCCUGGUAGUCCACGCCGUAAACGAUGGGCACUAGGUGUGGGGGGUGUCGACUCCCUCCGUGCCGAAGCUAACGCAUUAAGUGCCCCGCCUGGGGAGUACGGCCGCAAGGCUAAAACUCAAAGGAAUUGAC
rnacentral:rRNA from 1 species